rnacentral:rRNA from 1 species
GAUGAACGCUGGCGGCGUGCUUAACACAUGCAAGUCGAGCGAGUGAGUUCUUCGGAACGAUCUAGCGGCGGACGGGUGAGUAACACGUGGGCAACCUGCCUCAUAGAGGGGAAUAGCCUCCCGAAAGGGAGAUUAAUACCGCAUAAAAUUAUAGAGUGGCAUCACAUGAUAAUCAAAGGAGUAAUCCGCUAUGAGAUGGGCCCGCGGCGCAUUAGCUAGUUGGUAAGGUAACGGCUUACCAAGGCGACGAUGCGUAGCCGACCUGAGAGGGUGAUCGGCCACAUUGGGACUGAGACACGGCCCAGACUCCUACGGGAGGCAGCAGUGGGGAAUAUUGCACAAUGGGGGAAACCCUGAUGCAGCAACGCCGCGUGAGUGAUGAAGGUCUUCGGAUUGUAAAGCUCUGUCUUUGGGGACGAUAAUGACGGUACCCAAGGAGGAAGCCACGGCUAACUACGUGCCAGCCGCCGCAGUAA